AGGAUGAACGUUGGCGGCGUGCCUAACACAUGCAAGUUGAGCGUCGCCCUGAAUUUAUUCAGGGUGUAGCAGCGGACGGCUGAGUAAUGCACAGGAACGUACCUCGAAGCGGGGGAUAGCCCAUCGAAAGAUGGGGUAAUACUGCAUGUGAUCGCAAGAUCAAAGCCGCAAGGCACUUUGAGAGCGGCCUGUGUCCUAUCAGGUAGUUGGUGGGGUAAAUGCCUACCAAGCCUAUGACGGGUAACUGGUCUGAGAGGAUGACCAGUCAGAUCGGGACUGAGACACGGCCCGAACUCCUACGGGAGGCAGCAGUUGGGAAUCUUGCGCAAUGGACGAAAGUCUGACGCAGCGACGCCGCGUGGAGGAUGAAGGCUCUAGGGUCGUAAACUCCUUUGCUAGGGAGUAAUUUUGAAAGUACCUAGCGAAUAAGCACCGGCUAACUCCGUGCCAGCAGCCGCGGU
rnacentral:rRNA from 1 species